GGGGGGUGGACAUCAUAUACUUGAUGUAAUGUAUUGAAAUUGUUUAUCUAAUGUCACUUCAGAACUUAAUUACUUUAACUGAUGCAGACCUGUAUAAUCGUGUCUUAUGGUGUGUGAUAUUUGUAUUUGUUUAUCAGUUGUUUUAAAACCACGACACUGUGCAGACGACUUUAUAAUCUCUUUAGCAAUUAGUAGCUAUUUUACAAUUAAUAGAUAAGGGAUCAAUUACCCCCCCCCCCCCCCCCCCUUUCAUUUAAUUUAGAUUUAAAAAAUGUAUAUAUACCUUUUCAUACAUUGCGUAGGUAAUAAUGUACAUGUAACCCUUUCCAAAUUUUAAUUAUGAGUGGUUCCAGGACAUGCUGGAGCGGACAAGAAUCACAUUCUGGGAUUACAGAGAAAAUCAUCACAUUUGAUUAAAGCUCAAAUCUGAGGCUCAAAUUCCUUAUGUUAUGUUAACUUAAGUCAAAACAAGACUUGCAACUAAGAAAAUUACAGGGCUUUGCAUAUGACAAGUACAAUAAGCCUUAAUUAUCCUGAGUCUGAGACUACUAUUACUGAGUACUAUAACAAUAAACAUCUAGUAAUUCUCAGCCUUAUCAUACAUGUAUUAUACUUCUGAUAGUUUUCCACACCUAUUCACAUAUUUUUAAGCUGAAAAAUAUGAGCCAGGCUAUUACAGCGGCAGACUUAUCACCUUGUACAUUAUAAGAAGUGGACCCCUAGAGUGCAUGAAUGGUUUACUUUACAUAUACUUUAAUGUGAAUAUAAAAAUAAGAAGAUGUGGUACAUGUACAUGUAUGAUUGCCAAUGAGAAGAGUCCAAUUCUCCACCAGAGAUCAAAUGACAUAGAAGUUAGCAACUAUAAUAAGUUAUGGUACAAGAUGACUUCAACAAUGAGCAAAGCCCAUACCACAAAGUCAGCUAUUAAAGACAUUUAAUGAAAAUGACAAAUGUAAAACAAUGCAAAUGAGGAAACUAACAGACUGAUACAUGUUAUGAUUUCUAAACAAAACAAGGAACAAAUAAACAAAUAUGAUAUACAGCAACAAAGUGAACAAACAACAACUUGAACAUUACAGGCUCCUGACUUGGGACAGGCACAUACAGGAUGUGGUGGAGUCAGACUAGUUUAUUGGUGCCAAAUCUUCCCCUUAAAGGAGCUAUAAUUUGUUUUAAUAUGUGUGUGUGUGUGUGUGUGUGGGGGUCUAGGAUGAAAUUUGAAAAAAAGGCAGGAUGAGACACUUUGCCCAAAAAAAAGGCAGGAUGACAAUUGAUGUAAAACAAAAGUCAGAAUAAACUAUAAAUAAAAAAAAGACAGGACUGAAUAGAGUGGAAAAAUGGAAAUGCAGGACAAACUUUUUCAUCCUAACCCCCCCCCCCCCCUAAAUCAAAUGGUAGCUCCCUAACAUGGGAUAGUGGUGUGAAAAGGCUUAACUCAUCUGACAUCAGAUCUGUACAAAGCAGAUUUAACCACUUUGAUUUAUCACUUCAUACAAGUCAUAUGGAUUUAAUAAACAUAAGAUGGAUUAGAACAUUCAAAUAAUUUAAUACUUUUUGCAUAGUUAAUUUUUUUUCAGGGCAAGUCUAGAUCUGUUGUUCAGACUUCUUGUUUUAAAAGAUCAAAAUAAGCCAAUUUUGUCAUAUAAAAAAUUUUAAGGCAAUACAUUUGGCAGAUAUAUAAAUAUUGUAACUUCAUUUUAUUAUACAUUUGUACAUGUCAUACUUUAUUUCUUUUAGCAUUUUCAAUGAAAGUACAUUUUGUACUCCAAGAAGUAGAAGAAUCUAAGCAACAGAACAGAAUUCAUUUGAUGCAUUGCUUUCUAGAUUAUAUAAUGGAUUCAUAGAUUGUCAUAUUGAUUUAUAUGCAUAUAAGGAGCAGCAGGCAAUAAUUAUUUUGUGAUGAGAGCUUGUUACCAUGGUUACCAAAUGAAAGGAAAGUACAGUAUUAUAAUCACUGGUGUACAUGUACAUGUAGGUGCGGAUGUCAGGCAAAAAGAACUGGUAUCAAAGAACUGAAAAGUAAAGAAACAGAACCAAAGAACAUUCAUUUUUAAUUAAUACAAUAUUGAGCUCAAAGUCAAUCUAGUUGUCUUUCUUAAUCAUACAGGAUAUUUACAAAAAGCAGCUGCAUACACAUGCACCAGUAAUAUACAGCAGUGAAGACAAUUAAAUAUCUGUGUAUGGAGGUAUAGCAAUAGAAAUAUCACAUACAUCAUAGGAAAAUAGAAUAUAGACAAUAGAAAUGGAGUAUGUCAAAGAGACAAAAAUAUGAAAAUAGAAUAUAGACAAUAGAAAUGGAGUAUGUCAAAGAGACACACAUAUGAAAAUAGAAUAUAGACAAUAAAAUUGGGGUAUGUCAAAGAGACAAACAUGAAAAUAGAAUAUAGACAAAAGAAAUGGGGUAUGUCAAAGAGACACACAUAUGAAAAUAGAAUAUAGACAAUAGAAAUGGGGUAUGUCGAAGAGACAAACAAAUGAAAAUAGAAUAUAGACAAUAGAAAUGUGGUACAAUGUAUGUCAAGGAGACAAAAAUAUGAAAAUAGAAGAGACAACAACUUAAUAAAAAAAAUUCUACUUUAUAUAAACAUUA